UACGUAGGGGGCAAGCGUUGUCCGGAUUUAUUGGGCGUAAAGAGCGUGUAGGCGGCUAGGUAGGUCCGUUGUGAAAACUCGAGGCUCAACCUCGAGCUGUCGAUGGAAACCAUCUGGCUAGAGUCCGGAAGAGGAGAGUGGAACUGCGAGUGUAGAGGUGAAAUUCGUAGAUAUUCGCAAGAACACCAGUGGCGAAGGCGGCUCACUGGCCCGGAACUGACGCUGAGGUGCGAAAGCGUGGGGAGCAAACAGG
rnacentral:rRNA from 1 species